AUUGAACGCUGGCGGCAGGCUUAACACAUGCAAGUCGAGCGAGCGGCGGACGGGUGAGUAAUGUCUGGGAAACUGCCUGAUGGAGGGGGAUAACUACUGGAAACGGUAGCUAAUACCGCAUACCAUCAGAUGUGCCCAGAUGGGAUGGGCUCGUGGGUGGGGUAAUGGCUCACCUAGGCGACGAGCCCUAGCUGGUUUGAGAGGAUGACCAGCCACCCUGGAACUGAGCCACGGCCCGUACUCCUACGGGAGGCGGCAGUGGGGAAUAUUGCACAAUGGGCGCAAGCCUGAUGCAGCCAUGCCGCGUGUGUGAAGAAGGCCUUCGGGUUGUAAAGCACUUUCAGCGAGGAGGCGUUACUCGCAGAAGAAGCACCGGCUAACUCCGUGCCAGCAGCCGCGGUAAUUC
rnacentral:rRNA from 1 species